rnacentral:rRNA from 1 species
CUUCGGGUGGGGAUUAGUGGCGAACGGGUGAGUAACACGUGGGCAAUCUGCCCUGCACUCUGGGACAAGCCCUGGAAACCGGGUCUAAUACCGGAUACUGACCUGCCAAGGCAUCUUGGCGGGUCGAAAGCUCCGGCGGUGCAGGAUGAGCCCGCGGCCUAUCAGCUUGUUGGUGAGGUAAUGGCUCACCAAGGCGACGACGGGUAGCCGGCCUGAGAGGGCGACCGGCCACACUGGGACUGAGAUACGGCCCAGACUCCUACGGGAGGCAGCAGUGGGGAAUAUUGCACAAUGGGCGAAAGCCUGAUGCAGCGACGCCGCGUGAGGGAUGACGGCCUUCGGGUUGUAAACCUCUUUCAGCAGGGAAGAAGCGAAAGUGACGGUACCUGCAGAAGAAGCGCCGGCUAACUACGUGCCAGCAGCCGCGGUAAUACGUAGGGCGCAAGCGUUGUCCGGAAUUAUUGGGCGUAAAGAGCUCGUAGGCGGCUUGUCGCGUCGGUUGUGAAAGCCCGGGGCUUAACCCCGGGUCUGCAGUCGAUACGGGCAGGCUAGAGUUCGGUAGGGGAGAUCGGAAUUCCUGGUGUAGCGGUGAAAUGCGCAGAUAUCAGGAGGAACACCGGUGGCGAAGGCGGAUCUCUGGGCCGAUACUGACGCUGAGGAGCGAAAGCGUGGGGAGCGAACAGGAUUAGAUACCCUGGUAGUCCACGCCGUAAACGGUGGGCACUAGGUGUGGGCAACAUUCCACGUUGUCCGUGCCGCAGCUAACGCAUUAAGUGCCCCGCCUGGGGAGUACGGCCGCAAGGCUAAAACUCAAAGGAAUUGACGGGGGCCCGCACAAGCGGCGGAGCAUGUGGCUUAAUUCGACGCAACGCGAAGAACCUUACCAAGGCUUGACAUACACCGGAAAGCAUCAGAGAUGGUGCCCCCCUUGUGGUCGGUGUACAGGUGGUGCAUGGCUGUCGUCAGCUCGUGUCGUGAGAUGUUGGGUUAAGUCCCGCAACGAGCGCAACCCUUGUCCCGUGUUGCCAGCAACUCUUCGGAGGUUGGGGACUCACGGGAGACCGCCGGGGUCAACUCGGAGGAAGGUGGGGACGACGUCAAGUCAUCAUGCCCCUUAUGUCUUGGGCUGCACACGUGCUACAAUGGCCGGUACAAUGAGCUGCGAUACCGCAAGGUGGAGCGAAUCUCAAAAAGCCGGUCUCAGUUCGGAUUGGGGUCUGCAACUCGACCCCAUGAAGUCGGAGUCGCUAGUAAUCGCAGAUCAGCAUUGCUGCGGUGAAUACGUUCCCGGGCCUUGUACACACCGCCCGUCACGUCA